CGCCAGACUCCUACGGGAGGCAGCAGUAGGGAAUCUUCCACAAUGGACGAAAGUCUGAUGGAGCAACGCCGCGUGAGUGAAGAAGGGUUUCGGCUCGUAAAGCUCUGUUGGUAGUGAAGAAAGAUAGAGGUAGUAACUGGCCUUUAUUUGACGGUAAUUACUUAGAAAGUCACGGCUAACUACGUGCCAGCAGCCGCGGUAAUACGUAGGAUGCGAGCGUUAUCCGGAUUUAUUGGGUUUAAAGGGUGCGCAGGCGGCGUGUCAAGUCAGCGGUAAAAUGUCGGGGCUCAACCCCGGCCGGCCGUUGAAACUGGCGUGCUCGAGUUGGAGAGAAGUAUGCGGAAUUCGUGGUGUAGCGGUGAAAUGCAUAGAUAUCACGAAGAACCCCGAUUGCGAAGGCAGCAUACCGGCUCCACACUGACGCUGAGGCACGAAAGCGUGGGUAUCGAACAGGAUUAGAUACCCCAGUA
rnacentral:rRNA from 1 species